rnacentral:RNase_P_RNA from 1 species
GGCCGCCUCCACAGGGCCCACGGGGGCAACCCUGAGGAAACACCGCCCUUCCCGCGGCGCCAGGACCCCGCAAGGGGUGCGGGUAGAACCCGCGGCUCCGGCACAGAAACGACACGGCCCUGCUGUAGAUGACUAUGAUGGGGCCAAACCCCGGAGGAUCUGUGGGGUGCGGUGAAACGGCCGCCCCCUGGGAAGCAAGGCCGAUUGCGCCUGUGAAGGCCGCGUGAGGCGUAGGUUGGCCGCUCAGCCUAAUGCCCUACGACAGAAGGCGGGUUAUGUGGAGGCGGUC